UGCCCAGCAAUUCCUAUCCCUACCUCCUCGCGGUACUGGCCGGGGUACGAGUAACCUUAGGGAAGAUCGGGUAACCAACCCCCGGUGGGAACUUUGGUCGUAUGCAGACAGGGAAGG
rfam:Aedes aegypti strain Liverpool supercont1.294 genomic scaffold, whole genome shotgun sequence.